UACGUAGGUGGCAAGCGUUGUCCGGAUUUACUGGGCGUAAAGAGCGCGCAGGCGGUCAGAUAAGUCGAAUGUGAAAGCCCCCGGCUCAACUGGGGAGGGUCAUUCGAUACUGUUCGACUCGAAGGCAGGAGAGGGAAGUGGAAUUCCCGGUGUAGUGGUGAAAUGCGUAGAUAUCGGGAGGAACACCAGUGGCGAAGGCGACUUCCUGGCCUGUUCUUGACGCUGAGGCGCGAAAGCUAGGGGGAGCAAACGGGG
rnacentral:rRNA from 1 species